rnacentral:rRNA from 1 species
UACGGAGGGUGCAAGCGUUAUCCGGAUUCACUGGGUUUAAAGGGUGUGCAGGCGGGCUGUUAAGUGGUGUAUGAAAUAUCCCGGCUCAACCGGGAGAGGUUAUGCCAGACUGGCAGUCUAGAGAGCGAGAGAGGGACGUGGAAUUCCGGGUGUAGUGGUGAAAUGCGUAGAGAUCCGGAGGAACCCCAGAGGCGAAGGCGGCGUCCUGGCUCGCAUCUGACGCUCAGACACGACAGCAUGGGGAGCGAACGGG